AGCCUGAACGCUGGCGGCGUGGCUAAGACAUGCAAGUCGUACGGUGUAGCAAUACACAGUGGCGAACGGGUGAGUAAUGAAUCGCUAACGUGCCCCGGACUCUGGGAUAGCUAUCCGAAAAGGGUAGGUAAUACCAGAUGACAUAUCCUGGUCGCAUGACCGGGAUCUCAAAGGUCCGCCGGUCUGGGAGCGGGCGAUUUCGUAUCAGCUAGUUGGUGAGGUAACGGCUCACCAAGGCGACGACGCGUAGCCGGACUGAGAGGUUGGCCGGCCACAUUGGGACUGAGACACUGCCCAGACUCCUACGGGGGGCUGCAGUAACGAAUCUUCCGCAAUGCACGAAAGUGUGACGGGGCGACGCCGCGUGGAGGACGAAGUUCUUCGGAAUGUAAACUCCUGUCAGAGGAAAGAAAGUUCUGAUCUACCUCAGAGGAAGAGGCGGCUAACUCUGCGCCAGCAGCCGCGGUAA
rnacentral:rRNA from 1 species